rnacentral:misc_RNA from 1 species
AGAGAGAGAGAGAGAGAGAGCACAUAUUGCAUGUGAUGCGUGGAUAAACAAGAACCAGAGAAAUUCAGAUAAGUGGAAAUGGCGUGUAUAGAAGCAGAAAAAAUGAUCACUCAAAGCUCAGGAUAAAGAAAACGAUGUAAAAAUAACAAUAAUACAAGAACUUUCUUGCACCACUAAUCAUUCCUCAGUUCACUCGCUUUCCCCUGUUAUAUAUGGCUUUCAUAAUUUUUCGUUGUCGGUGAAUCUAUAUUGCUUUCAUUUCAUUGUCUUGUCUCGCGUACAACUCUAGAACUGCGUGUUCUAAAAGUUUUGCACUUCAUUUUGUUUUCUGGGUUUGC